rnacentral:rRNA from 1 species
AUUGAACGCUGGCGGCAUGCCUUACAUAUGCAAGUCGAACGGCAGCGGACCUUCGGGUGCCGGCGAGUGGCGAACGGGUGAGUAAUAUAUCGGAACGUACCUUUCAGUGGGGGAUAACGUAGCGAAAGUUACGCUAAUACCGCAUAUUCUGUGAGCAGGAAAGCAGGGGAUCGCAAGACCUUGCGCUGAUUGAGCGGCCGAUAUCAGAUUAGCUAGUUGGUGAGGUAAAGGCUCACCAAGGCGACGAUCUGUAGCGGGUCUGAGAGGAUGAUCCGCCACACUGGAACUGAGACACGGUCCAGACUCCUACGGGAGGCAGCAGUGGGGAAUUUUGGACAAUGGGCGCAAGCCUGAUCCAGCCAUGCCGCGUGAGUGAAGAAGGCCU